rnacentral:lncRNA from 1 species
GCCAAGGAAGGGUUAACCAGCCAAGUUCCAGGCUAACACAGGAGAUUAUAGAAUGUUUAUCUAGUAUUCAGAUUUCCUGUUUAAAUGUUUGGAUUUCCUGAAAUCUAUCAGUCUGAAGGGUGUCCAGUACGUGGCCUUUUCCGCCCCUUCUUUUCAGCUCACAUGGGUGGACUUCCCUUCCCAACUGUAUUUCUGUCUCCUCACCAGCCAAGAUUUUCAUGGAUGAAAAUCAAAACGUUUUAGGCACCCCCAGAAAAUAUUUCUGGAUCCCUGGCCUUUGGGAUGUGCUUUGUUUUAAUCUAGCGAGCAAAUAAUCACAACAAAAAUUCCUGGGAAUUUCCUAUUGGUGCAACGUGCCUUUUUUUUUUCCCCUUUUCUCUCUUUUUUUUCCCAGCUCCGUGUUGGAAAAUAAUUUUAGCCCUUUCAAGACAAUGGAAUGAUGGCCUUCCUUUUGGCAUGCUCUUCUGGAAUGGGACUUCAAACAGGACGAGUCUUGGUAAUUUUCUUCUGUUGAGACAUGAGAUCUUCAGCUUCCAGAUUGUCCAGCUUCUCUUCAAGGGAUUCAUUAUGGAAUCGGAACAGAAGACUUGGCCGCACAAGGAAAUAACAACAGCCAACGACUUCAUAGUCGGCCGUCAACACCCCAAUCAUCCAGUAAGAAGCACAACCUACCAGUCACCACAUAAACAGGAUGCAAAGAAUAGCACACAUUCCAGUAGAGAGAACUUCCUUGACGAUGGGCUCCAGCAUAAGUCUGAAAGCUUGGAAGACUAAACCUGUGGUCCUAGUGUCCAACCCAGAUUGAAUCCUGCAAUAAACAUCUAAUUUCCUCAUACGUAAACUUGAGAAACUUGAAAAACUCGAUGUAGGAUGAGUUAAUAACCUAGCAUCCCGGAAGUGUAAAAUCAGCAAUGCUGCCAGUUAUGGAGACAACCACAAGACUUACAAUUUCUUGACACACAGAAUACUGAAAGGAAGCUUGUACUUAGCUUAUCUUAAGUUCACAGUAGGGAGUUGGAGAAGGCAAGGACCUCCCUAGUCCAUCCACUUCCUAAUUCUAAAAGAUCUGAGAAGCAUACAUGUUUCCUCUCUUUCAUUCUCACAAUAAUCUUUGGAGGUGGGUUAGGAUAACUGAGGAUUUCAUCAUUGAAUAGGAAAUUCAGCAUGGGUAUUCUCUCUCUCUUUUUUAAAUAAUGCUUUAUUGAAUUUUUUCCAUUUAUACAUAUUACCAAUAGUUAUUAAACAGUGCUGUGACAUUAUAUAUACAUUUAUGUGUCCUAUCAAAACUUACUAUGCAUAAAACUUUCAUAGCCUCUUAUUUAUUAUAUACAUUAUUUACAAUUUCUGUGUUUAUAUCUAUUAUCUAUCCAAAUAAACCAUGUUUCCCAUACUGCAUUGUAUUCUGUGUCUGUUUUCCCUUUUAGUUCCAUAGUUAAUUUAUCCAUUUCCACACACUUUAAAAAAAAAAUUGAUUAUUGAGCCUUCAGAUGGUAUAGAAUUUUCCUUCCAGUACUGAG